rnacentral:rRNA from 1 species
AAUCCCGUGAACCAUCGAGUUUUUGAACGCAAGUUGCGCCCGAAGCCUUCGGGCCGAGGGCACGCCUGCCUGGGCGUCACGCAUUGCGYCGCCCCCUCCCCCCGUCCUGGUUGGCGGGGGGGCGGAGAAUGGCCUCCCGUGCGCCCCCGUCGCGCGGCCGGCCC